AAUGGGAGUUCUCCACUAAGGUAGCUACGGGUAGAGUAUUGAGCUCCUAAAAAUCCCUGAUUUUGUGAGAUUGGGCAAAGGAGAUUUUUACCAUUAUAAGAUAAGUCAAAGGAGGGGAGAAGAAAGAAAGUGAAAAGCUUGGCCAAAUUGGAUAGAAACCAUUAGGGAUUCUUGGAAAAGAAUAGUUUCUAGCGGCUAUAAAUAAGAUCUAUUCUACUCAACAAAGGACAACCACAUCUAGAGAGUAAGCUUCCUCUUUUACCUCCAAAACCCAGCAACUUUGUGCUCAGUUCAUCCUUCUCCCCCUUGUUUUUCCUCUUGGCAGAUCGUUUUGAUACUUGACAGAACCUCUAUCGAGCUGCCGGAAAAACACUUAAGUCACCCAUUGCCUAGCCUCUCUCCUCUUCUCGGCCAAAACCUCUGAUAAUCAUUUCCUCCUUUUCCUUAGAACCCUUGUUUUUUUUUUUUUCAUAUAAACUCACAGCUCUUUCCCUUUAAGGCUAAACUCAUGACAACUUUGCUCCCAUGCCAGAAGCCUCUCAUGUCAAGCCAAGAUUCUACUUGUAAGCACUAAGAAUUCAUUUGUAAGCUGUUGUUAUUUUUGUUGGUGAAGGUAACCAGGUGUUUCCUAAGGCUCUACUGUCCUUUCGAAGCAUUCUUGGAGCUUGAGUUCUGAACUCAGGCACAAGAGAUAAUUUCAUUUAGUUCGCUCAUUACGAUAGCCCAGCCCAUUUGUAGCUGCCAGAAGAAAAAA
rnacentral:lncRNA from 1 species